ensembl:rRNA 5S_rRNA 5S ribosomal RNA
UUUGCCAUGCCAUCCUGAAGGCACCCCAUCUCAUCUGAUCUCGGAAGCUAAACAGGAUUGGGCCUGGUUAGUAGUUGGAUGGGAGGCCAAUGUAAAUUCUUUCCAAAC